CCUACGGGAGGCAGCAGUGAGGAAUAUUGGUCAAUGGGCGCAAGCCUGAACCAGCCAAGUCGCGUGAGGGAUGACGGUCCUAUGGAUUGUAAACCUCUUUUGUCGGGGAGCAAGGCCCGCCACGUGUGGCGGGAAGGAGAGUACCCGAAGAAAAAGCAUCGGCUAACUCCGUGCCAGCAGCCGCGGUAAUACGGAGGAUGCGAGCGUUAUCCGGAUUUAUUGGGUUUAAAGGGUGCGUAGGCGGGAGGUUAAGUCAGCGGUAAAAUGUCGGUGCUCAACACCGGCCUGCCGUUGAAACUGGUCUUCUUGAGUGAGCGAGAAGUAUGCGGAAUGCGUGGUGUAGCGGUGAAAUGCAUAGAUAUCACGCAGAACUCCGAUUGCGAAGGCAGCAUACCGGCGCUCAACUGACGCUGAGGCACGAAAGCGUGGGGAUCGAACGGGAUUAGAUACCCUAGUAGUC
rnacentral:rRNA from 1 species